rnacentral:lncRNA from 1 species
GAAUAUCAAAUCUAGAACAGUCUAGUCGGCACUACUGACUCUUCAAGCUCCACCUGACUGUGUAGAUGUCGGACUCAGAUUCUCUUUCCUCAGAAUAUAACAUCUCCAAGACUCGUCAAAAGUCAAAUCUCUACUCAGAACAACUUUCUUCAACUCGGGACACCCAAAGGUAUGUAUAUGCCUUUGUCCAGAACGAAAAACCCAAGAAUAUGGCUUCUUGCUCUAGGAUCCAACUUGGAUUCAGUCACAUGAACAUAUGCAGAACAUCCAAAUACGUUUGUUGUAAAUAAUCAUAAUUGAAAACAGGUUACCAGGGACCAUCCUCCAUUGGUUUGUUUUUCAACCCAAUCCCAGCUGACAGGUAAUCUGUUGACGAGAUGAGAGGCAUAGCUCACUGCCUCUGCCCAAAAUGCCUUGAUCAAUCCAGCGUGAGACAACAUGCAUCGAACUUUCGUCACCAGAGUACGGUUCAUGCGUUCUGCUACUCCGUUCUGCUGAGGCGUUUACGACGAAAUGUGAAGUGUCUGGACUAUCCCUCCUCCGGCAUAUCUGAGAAAUGCGAUCAGUAAUCUGUAUUCGCCUCCAUUUAUCAGAUCGGGAGCUUCUUGAGUUUCUGCACUGUCUGAUUCUCCACAUUGAACUUCCAACUCAGAAAGGUAUCAAGAACUUCAUCUUUAUGUUUCAUAGUGUAGACCCACCAAACUCGUCUUGGAGAAAUCGUGCGCUAAACGUAACAAACCAAUGUUCUACCUACCAAAGAGAAGUCCGUGUGUAGGGUCCCCAAACGUACAGUGUGAACAUAAUCCAGAAUGCCUGCAGUAUGAUGAAUUGAAGUGCCAAUUUACCCUAGUCUGCUUGCCCAAACACACAAUGCUCACAAAAUUCAAUAUGCCAGUCUAGCUCCUUUCAGAACUCCUUUUCGUACCAAAGUUUGCAAAGCUUUUCUCACAAGGUGCCCCAACCGCAUAUGCAUAAUCUGGAAGUAUCUGAUUCCAUAUGAACUGUUGGGAAACGGCAACUCUCCCUGUGACAGUACUCCCAUCGAGGAAGUAUAAAUUUCCCUUCGAGGCCCUUCAUAGAAAAACCAUGCACCUCGAACAACUUUCAGAAUACCUCUUUCCAAGUGCCCUUAUAACCUUUGAGUUAAGUUACCAGAGAGAUAAGAUUUUUCUUCAAGUCGGUACAUAACGAACAUCAGUCAAAACUCUGAUAGUUCAAUCGAACAUCAUCAGUUCGGAUCGGCCUAUCCCCCGGGUGUUGCAGGCAUUGUCAUACCCAUCAGAACAACACCCACCGUCGAAACUCCUAAAGGCCGAAAACAAAUCUCGAGUUAGGUAAGGACUAAUGUGAUAGGAACAUCCCGAAUUUCCAGAUCCACUCGUCAGAUUGAUUAGUGGAUGAUGAAUGAAAAACUGUCAAAACUGCAUCCAAAUCUUCAUAUUCAUGUUGUUCUGUGCCAAUUGUUUUGGUUCCCUUCUUCCUUUGAUCGGACAAUUAGCCUCGCAAUGGCCUUUGAGACAAUAGGCCACUCAUACUUUUGCAAGCUGUCGCCUAUCAGAUGAUUUUUCGCAGAUUUUUGAGCGAGAUUUCACCUCCCUUAGAUUUCUGCGGGUACUCGUCCAACCCCUUGCCUUGUAAAUGCAUCUGAACUCGAUUCUGUGAGAAUAAUGAUCUUCUUAGUACCUCAGUAUUCAUCAAGGCAUUAGACACAUCAUUAAAUUUAAUUCAUUUUACGUUUACAGCAAGGUAGUUGUCUUUUUCCCCCCCCCCCCACCCCCAAAUGCUCAUACGUUUCAGGCAAGGAAUUUAAUAACAAAAGUGCCUUAUCUUCAUCAUCAAUUUCAAAAUCCAAAUUUUGCAGAUCAGCCAGAAUUUAUUGAAAACUAUUCAGAUGCUCAUUCAUGGACGUACCUUGCUUGUAUUGGAAGCGGGGGAAGCGGAGAGUUUCUUUUUCAGAAGAGCCGUUCUCAAACACUCUUGGUCAUGUACUUGUUCCGAGUUUUUCCCAAAACUCCUUUGCUGAGGUCUUCUGUUCAUAACAAAAUACUUCUGGUCUUGGCAAGACAAAGUCUGAUAGUACCGCAAGCAUUGGCGAUUAUUAAAGUUUCGCCCAAUCCUUCUCUGAUAUGUCACUGACUUCUAGCCUCACAGAGUAAUAUCCAAACCUGGUUUUGAUGAGAACAUCCAAAACUUCGCAUUGCCACAUGCCGAAGUAUUUGUCCCAUCAAAUUUUUCCACUUCAAAUGUGGCAUUAGACAUCGUAGUCCUAUGCCCAGAGUACCGGUGAAUGCUAGUGGUUAUUUUUCUGCCAUCAAACCAAUUUAACUCCACCCAAAACGAUAUAUGGAAUUAAAUAUGGCAAAGUCUGACCACACGGAUGAGUCGGGGAAUGCAGGGAAAAAUAAGAAGGGCUAAACUGAACAAAUCAGAAACCUUCUAGGGCCAAUGUAUCAAAAUUCGAAAUCUGAGGACCAAAUUUGUCUAAAAUCCAAAAUAUGAGGGUCAAAUUGAAUUUUCCAGAAUAGCAGGGACCAAUGUAAUUUACCGAAACUUCAGGGACCAAAAUGUAAUUUACCGAAACUUCAGGGACCAAAAUGUAAUUUACCGAAACUUCAGGGACCAAAAUGUAAUUUACCGAAACUUCAGGGACCAAAAUGUAAUUUACCGAAACUUCAGGGACCAAAAUGUAAUUUACCGAAACUUCAGGGACCAAAAUGUAAUUUACCGAAACUUCAGGGACCAAAAUGUAAUUUACCGAAACUUCAGGGACCAAAAUGUAAUUUACCGAAACUUCAGGGACCAAAAUGUAAUUUACCGAAACUUCAGGGACCAAAAUGUAAUUUACCGAAACUUCAGGGACCAAAAUGUAAUUUACCGAAACUUCAGGGACCAAAAUGUAAUUUACCGAAACUUCAGGGACCAAAAUGUAAUUUACCGAAACUUCAGGGACCAAAAUGUAAUUUACCGAAACUUCAGGGACCAAAAUGUAAUUUACCGAAACUUCAGGGACCAAAAUGUAAUUUACCGAAACUUCAGGGACCAAAAUGUAAUUUACCGAAACUUCAGGGACCAAAAUGUAAUUUACCGAAACUUCAGGGACCAAAAUGUAAUUUACCGAAACUUCAGGGACCAAAAUGUAAUUUACCGAAACUUCAGGGACCAAAAUGUAAUUUACCGAAACUUCAGGGACCAAAAUGUAAUUUACCGAAACUUCAGGGACCAAAAUGUAAUUUACCGAAACUUCAGGGACCAAAAUGUAAUUUACCGAAACUUCAGGGACCAAAAUGUAAUUUACCGAAACUUCAGGGACCAAAAUGUAAUUUACCGAAACUUCAGGGACCAAAAUGUAAUUUACCGAAACUUCAGGGACCAAAAUGUAAUUUACCGAAACUUCAGGGACCAAAAUGUAAUUUACCGAAACUUCAGGGACCAAAAUGUAAUUUACCGAAACUUCAGGGACCAAAAUGUAAUUUACCGAAACUUCAGGGACCAAAAUGUAAUUUACCGAAACUUCAGGGACCAAAAUGUAAUUUACCGAAACUUCAGGGACCAAAAUGUAAUUUACCGAAACUUCAGGGACCAAAAUGUAAUUUACCGAAACUUCAGGGACCAAAAUGUAAUUUACCGAAACUUCAGGGACCAAAAUGUAAUUUACCGAAACUUCAGGGACCAAAAUGUAAUUUACCGAAACUUCAGGGACCAAAAUGUAAUUUACCGAAACUUCAGGGACCAAAAUGUAAUUUACCGAAACUUCAGGGACCAAAAUGUAAUUUACCGAAACUUCAGGGACCAAAAUGUAAUUUACCGAAACUUCAGGGACCAAAAUGUAAUUUACCGAAACUUCAGGGACCAAAAUGUAAUUUACCGAAACUUCAGGGACCAAAAUGUAAUUUACCGAAACUUCAGGGACCAAAAUGUAAUUUACCGAAACUUCAGGGACCAAAAUGUAAUUUACCGAAACUUCAGGGACCAAAAUGUAAUUUACCGAAACUUCAGGGACCAAAAUGUAAUUUACCGAAACUUCAGGGACCAAAAUGUAAUUUACCGAAACUUCAGGGACCAAAAUGUAAUUUACCGAAACUUCAGGGACCAAAAUGUAAUUUACCGAAACUUCAGGGACCAAAAUGUAAUUUACCGAAACUUCAGGGACCAAAAUGUAAUUUACCGAAACUUCAGGGACCAAAAUGUAAUUUACCGAAACUUCAGGGACCAAAAUGUAAUUUACCGAAACUUCAGGGACCAAAAUGUAAUUUACCGAAACUUCAGGGACCAAAAUGUAAUUUACCGAAACUUCAGGGACCAAAAUGUAAUUUACCGAAACUUCAGGGACCAAAAUGUAAUUUACCGAAACUUCAGGGACCAAAAUGUAAUUUACCGAAACUUCAGGGACCAAAAUGUAAUUUACCGAAACUUCAGGGACCAAAAUGUAAUUUACCGAAACUUCAGGGACCAAAAUGUAAUUUACCGAAACUUCAGGGACCAAAAUGUAAUUUACCGAAACUUCAGGGACCAAAAUGUAAUUUACCGAAACUUCAGGGACCAAAAUGUAAUUUACCGAAACUUCAGGGACCAAAAUGUAAUUUACCGAAACUUCAGGGACCAAAAUGUAAUUUACCGAAACUUCAGGGACCAAAAUGUAAUUUACCGAAACUUCAGGGACCAAAAUGUAAUUUACCGAAACUUCAGGGACCAAAAUGUAAUUUACCGAAACUUCAGGGACCAAAAUGUAAUUUACCGAAACUUCAGGGACCAAAAUGUAAUUUACCGAAACUUCAGGGACCAAAAUGUAAUUUACCGAAACUUCAGGGACCAAAAUGUAAUUUACCGAAACUUCAGGGACCAAAAUGUAAUUUACCGAAACUUCAGGGACCAAAAUGUAAUUUACCGAAACUUCAGGGACCAAAAUGUAAUUUACCAAGACUUAUUCGAAAUUUAUUCAGUUAUUAUUUGAUAUUUUGAAAGGAACGACAAAAUUUAUAGUACACAUCAUGUGUAUAAUA